AACAUAAACCUGAUACAAAAAAAAUAUCAUUAUAAUAGAAGUUGAUGUCUACCAAAGCACACCAGGAUUAACAAACAUUCUACCGGAACAAAACGCGAAAAAUGAAUACGAAAUCCCAGAGCACACACUAAGACAAGAAAAAAAACACCAUAUAUUUGCCUAGCCGCAAUUUAUUUUGCACAGCCAUGAAAUCGGCUCAAAAUCAUGAACAACCAAGCAUUAUUUCUUUUACUGGAUUCAACAUUGAGUUAUCAUCACC
rnacentral:lncRNA from 1 species